rnacentral:rRNA from 1 species
UACGUAGGGGGCAAGCGUUGCCCGGAAUCAUUGGGCGUAAAGAGCGUGUAGGCGGCUCGAUAAGUCCGCUGUGAAAGUCCAGGGCUCAACCCUGGAAGGCCGGUGGAAACUGUCGGGCUAGAGUCCGGAAGAGGCGAGUGGAAUUCCCGGUGUAGCGGUGAAAUGCGCAGAUAUCAGGAGGAACACCGGUGGCGAAGGCGGUGAUCUGGGCCGACACUGACGCUGUAGAGCGAAAGCGUGGGGAGCGAACAGG